rnacentral:tRNA from 1 species
AUUUAAAUAGCUUAAUAAAGAGCAUAGUAUUGAAGAUACUAGGGUAAUAUUUAUAUUUUUAGAUA